rnacentral:rRNA from 1 species
CUACGGGUCGCUGCAGACGAGAAUCAUUCGCAAUGGGCGAAAGCCUGACGAUGCGACGUCGCGUGAGUGAAGAAGCCCUUCGGGGUGUAAAAUUCUUUUCUAAGGGAAAAAGCUUUUGCUGACCGUACCUUAGGAAUAAGGGGCGGCUAACCUCGUGCCAGAAGCCUCGGUGAGACGAGGGCCCCAAGCGUUGUCCGAAUUCACUGGGCGUAAAGCGUGUGUAGGCGGUUUUAAUAGUGAUUGGUUAAAUUCCGGGGCUUAACUCCGGAGCAGCCAGUCAAACGUUAAAACUGGAGCAGGUAAGAGGCAAGCGGAACUUACCAAGUAGGGGUGGAAUCCGUUGAUAUGGUAAGGAACACCAAAGGCGAAGGCAGCUUGCUAGUGCCUAGCUGACGCUGAGACACGAAAGCGUGGGUAGCAAAAAGGAUUAGAUACCCGAGUAGUC